GAUGAACGCUGGCGGCGUGCCUAAUACAUGCAAGUCGAGCGAACGGACGAGAAGCUUGCUUCUCUGAUGUUAGCGGCGGACGGGUGGGUAACACGUGGAUAACCUACCUAUAAGACUGGGAUAACUUCGGGAAACCGGAGCUAAUACCGGAUAAUAUUUUGAACCGCAUGGUUCAAAAGUGAGAGACGGUCUUGCUGUCACUUAUAGAUGGAUCCGCGCUGCAUUAGCUAGUUGGUAAGGUAACGGCUUACCAAGGCAACGAUGCAUAGCCGACCUGAGAGGGUGAUCGGCCACACUGGAACUGAGACACGGUCCAGACUCCUACGGGAGGCAGCAGUAGGGAAUCUUCCGCAAUGGGCGAAAGCCUGACGGAGCAACGCCGCGUGAGUGAUGAAGGUCUUCGGAUCGUAAAACUCUGUUAUUAGGGAAGAACAUAUGUGUAAGUAACUGUGCACAUCUUGACGGUACCUAAUCAGAAAGCCACGGCUAACUACGUG
rnacentral:rRNA from 1 species